rnacentral:rRNA from 1 species
UACGUAGGGUGCAAGCGUUAAUCGGAAUUACUGGGCGUAAAGCGUGCGCAGGCGGUCUUGCAAGUCAGAUGUGAAAUCCCCGGGCUCAACCUGGGAACUGCAUUUGUGACUGCAAGGCUGGAGUGCGGCAGAGGGGGAUGGAAUUCCGCGUGUAGCAGUGAAAUGCGUAGAUAUGCGGAGGAACACCGAUGGCGAAGGCAAUCCCCUGGGCCUGCACUGACGCUCAUGCACGAAAGCGUGGGGAGCAAACAGG